rnacentral:rRNA from 1 species
CAAAUCAGCCAUAUCACCCUGCAACUCACAACUGGUAACCCACUGAAGCUAAGCAGGUGUGAGCCUGGUCAGUACCUGGAUGGGAGACCUCCUGGGAAAAACUAAGGUUGCUGCUGG